AUUUGCUAAUUUAAGGAGAAUGCAAAAACACAUAACAAACGCGAAAAUAGUGGGAAUAUUGCUGGUUGAUAGCUGUCAAAAAUCAGCUGUUUGUUGACCUUCAGCAGUUUGUAGGGAAAUGCGUGCUAAAGCGUGUGUGUGUGUCAAAAUAGGGGUAUAUUCAAGUACCGUUAUUGGCGCGCUUCUAAAUUUUCUUGUGUGAUUAAUUUUUGUGAAAAGUGGAAAAGUUUUAAUAAAAAGUAAAUGAUUUAGUUUAUAAUAUGCAGUGCUAAAAAUUAUGUUCUAUGAAGUGUUUAGAAGACGCAUAAUUGAUAAUUAAUGAUAUUAGUUAUUAGUUAUUAGUGUUUGUAAAUAUUAUGUGAAAUGUAAAACCAAAAGCACGUCACAAGGAUUGGAAAUAAAUACAUAUAUCACAGAUCUACGGAUGUAAGUGUGGAACUCGGACUGCACUGAAUAAGUGAAUGGGAACCCGAAAUUUGCUACAAGACGGAAUCAAGAAAGGUAUGUCAAUCUAUUAACAUAUGUGCUUCGAAGGCUUAAAAAUCGAAACAGUGCGCUUGGAGGAUUAUUUUGUCACCAAUCGAACGCGAGGAACAAACUCAACGAUCGUCAGGCCAACAGCCUUUAAAUUAAUGUUAACAAGAAGAUGAACUAACCGGUGAAGCGGUCCUUAUCUAUGUUACUCUCUGACUCUUAAAGAGGCAUAAAAUUGUAUUCAAAACAAUUUGAAUAUAGAAAUUUAUAAGAUAUUGACCUUAGAAAAUAAGGUUAACGGUUCCACAGUUCCUCAUGAAACUUUUCCAACCAAAAACCCAGUUAGAAUACGAUUUCACAAUUUUGUUCAUCAGGAAGAAGAAAUCUGAAGAGUGUUGUAUUUUUUGAUAAAAAAUGGAUAUAACUAAAAAAAUAAAUUAAACUGCCAUCCGGUAAAAUGUUCAACCUUACCGAAUGAAUGCGGAUUGAACACUGUUCAAUUAGAACUCCAACAACUAAAGGUGGACUUUAUUUUGAGCGAAGAGCUCGCAAGAAAUCUUACGAUUUACCCUUGGUCAGAAGGACCUAGAGACUGCCCAGUUGUUAGUAGUUGACCAAAGCUUGGUCUGAGGCAAAAAGCUCCUUCUCGUUCCUAUUCUUGGGACCCGGAAGCAAUAUUUUAAAUUGUGAUGAUCUAGAUAUAACUGAAAUUUAUAAAACUGUUGGCAUUGAAAGUAAUCGAAUAGCGAUUGUGUACCUGAAAAUAAGCUAUAAACUUCAAAGAUAAGUUUGGACAUAGACUUGUUUGUACUUUAUGAGGUAUGUUACGGAUUUCAUUUAGACAACAAUUUUCUCUUCAGAAUUUUUUGUAUUCCAAUUAGUUUUGAAAUAACGAUAAUACCUUUUUAAACCAAGAGGAUAGAAACUCACAACAAAAAUGUAUAAAAAAAAACUUGUAUAUUAUAUUUUUUUAAAUAAAAAAAGUUCGAAAAAACGA